GCACAAAAAUGAUAGCGCAGUUAAGCAUAAAAACAGAGUCAGAAGUGGACUCAGACACCUCACUGGAGCUUUGCAACUAUGGUGAGGCUCCGACGAGUAAAAGCUACCUCUGGUAGGUAGUUCAAGGUUCUUUCCUUUGAUGCUCUACUGCUUCUAUGAAUGUUUGCCUCUCCUUCUCUCCUCCUUUCUCUGAGUACUGUAGCUUUGUUGAUUGAUGAGCUUUAUUAAGGGCGUAGGUAUGGGAUUGAGGAGAGAUUCAAUGGCAAUUUUUCGUAUCUCUUGAGAGUGCAAUGAGAAUCUGUUAGAAGAUUUUGGAGGGAGAAUUCACCAAUGAUCCUUGUGAAUUGAUAGAGUGUAAGGAUGAGAUUAGUUUGUUGAAAAAUCUGUAGUGAUCCGUGUUUGUUGAGGGAAUGAUUAUGAGUUGAUGAUGGAUGGAAAUUGAUGAUGAUAAUUUGAUGAAUGAUGGAUCAUGGUGGUGAUGGAUAUUUGGAUUCACGCGUUGUUUGAAGUGGUAUGAGUAUGUUGAAUGAUGAUGGGAUAAUGGUGAACACAAAGUGCAUGGUGAAACAGAUGAUGACGAGCAUGGUUUUAAAUUACGGUCGCAGCUAUGGAUGCGGUUGCGGUCACUACGGAUGCGGCUAUUGCAGUUAUUACCAUGUAGAUUGCGGUCGUUGCGGUGUGAAUUUAUAUCUAUGAACAUAAAAUAUUAUAUUUUAUUAUUUAUUUUAGAUUUCUCGCCUUCCA